GCGUGAGAAUCUACCCUAAAGUGGAGAAUACCUUCGAGAAAUCGAAGUUAAUACUGCAUACGUCCCUUCGGGGAGAAAGAUGGCUUAUUCUAGCUGUCGCUUAAGGAUGAGCUUGCGUGCUAUUAGCUAGUUGGUAGGGUAAUGGCCUACCAAGGCGAUGAUGGCUAGUCGGCCUGAGAGGGUGUACGACCACACUGGAACUUAGACACGGUCCAGACUCCUACGGGAGGCAGCAGUGAGGAAUAUUGCGCAAUGGGCGAAAGCCUGACGCAGCGACGCCGCGUGAAGGAUGAAGGUCUUCGGAUUGUAAACUUCUGUUAAGUGGGAAGAAAGACUCGUCUCUAAUACAGACGAGGGAUGACUGUACCAUUAAAGAAAGCACCGGCUAACUUCGUGCCAGCAGCCGCGGUAAUACGAAGGGUGCUAGCGUUAUUCGGAAUAAUUGGGCGUAAAGGGCGCGUAGGUGGCAUGUUAAGUUUGCUGUUAAAUCUUCCAGCCUAACUGGAAAACUGCAGCAAAAACUGGCAAGCUAGAGUGUAAGAGAGAGAAGUGGAAUUCUCGGAGUAGCGGUAAAAUGCGUAGAUCUCGAGAGGAACACCGAUGGCGAAGGCAGCUUCUUGGCUUACUACUGACACUGAGGCGCGAAAGCGUGGGGAGCAAACAGGAUUAGAUACCCUGGUAGUCCACGCUGUAAACGAUGAUCACUAGAUGU
rnacentral:rRNA from 1 species